GGAUUAGAUACCCUGGUAGUCCACGCUGUAAACGAUGUCUACUAGCUGUUGGGUUCCUAGAGGAUUUAGUAGCGCAGUUAACGCACUAAGUAGACCGCCUGGGGAGUACGGCCGCAAGGUUAAAACUCAAAUGAAUUGACGGGGGCCCGCACAAGCGGUGGAGCAUGUGGUUUAAUUCGACGCAACGCGAAGAACCUUACCAGGCCUUGACAUCCCGGGAAGAGACUAGAGAUAGUUUUGUGCCUUCGGGAGCUCGGUGACAGGUGCUGCAUGGCUGUCGUCAGCUCGUGCCG
rnacentral:rRNA from 1 species